CAUAUUAAAUCAAGGAAAUGCAUAAAUACAAUUAUUAAAAAAAGCUUUCAAACUAACUUUUUUGAUCUGGGACUUUUGAAAUAAGUCACUAAUGCUAAGCUAUAAAAAAUAAAAAGAAGUAAGACUACCUUUCAAAAUUCUUCUGAAUGAAAUUAUCAGGCAUUUUCAGGUCACUAAAGUAGGAAAAUACAAACUAGGUAAAUAUGACUUAUCUUUUCAAGAAAGCUGUUGCUCUCGUGAAACCGAUGAUGAGAAUCCAGUGUUUGCAAAUGUCGAGCACAGAGCAAGGAAGACAAAGGUCCUUACAUUAGCUAUGCAUAUGCUCCCAAGGGUGUCUCACUGCUCAGAAGUUUAAACACAGAAAUGAAACAAGUAUCGCACUACUUACAGUAUGAAGGUGGAUUUGAGAUGGGAGACAGAAUUUACAAUAUAUGAUCAAAGCAGUUUUAUUAAUAAUUAAUUGUGGCACUCUUCUCAUAUAUUUUAAAAAAUAAAUUGAAGAUCAAGUCAUAGACAAGUCUCCCUGUCAACACCUUUCCCUGAGUCAGCUUUCUUCUCUUUUCGGCUUUCAUUGCUAUGGAGGAAAAAGGAGAAAUUCAUUACUGCAACCCUGCAUGGCAACUGUGAGAUCUGCUUGCUCAGACACCAAACCUAUCAACCCCCAAACACCACCAGAGCCCUUAGGCGUUGCUCUCUCAUGCUGCGGAGCAGAGAUCGGCAGCAACAAUUAAAAUCCUCUGCACUCAGUAGGAUAGAAACCAAGAACUGCAGAGAGGGGGAAAUUCAAAAAACAGAAACAAAAGAAACAAAAAACAGACGUUUUUUGAACGGUUCCAAAAGCAUGCAAGAUUAGUACCACGGUCCUCAUUUGGGCAAAUGAAUCACUGAUGAUUGUUGAAAAUGCUAGUCAUGCCCCCAUCUGAAGACAGCACCAACACUAGUAAACGACACAAACAAGACGUCACAGUAGGCAUUUCUGGGCUCUGCUGCAAGUGGCUCAUUUUUAUGCAUGCACAGAUCCUGAUCUUUGAGGGGGAUUGUGUCUUGGACUCCACUGGUCUAGAGGAGGGAUUCACAUUGCACACUGCACUCCAGACACCGGUACUUCUCUUCACAGAUAAACGCUUACCCUGUAUAUCAGGGGAACAGUGUUUCAUCUCAGUCUUUCCAGAAUAAACUCAUUUCAAAGUGGCUUCCGUUUUUUCUCACUCCCCAGUUAAAUUCACCAACAGGACACUUGGCACUGUGGCUGUAUCAUUUUUAUCUAUUUUCCCCCCAAUAUUCUUCCAAUUUACAUUUUUCCUAUUCUCAUGCUAGCAGUGUUCGUGAAAAAUUCAGAUAAUGUGCUCAAAUGCAUGGACCUCACAUCGAAUGUAAGCUUUCAGAGGGGCAGGAUUGCUGGCUUCCCAGGUACUUCCAGCCCGUGGCAAAGUCCCUACAUCCUCUGCCUCUCUGGGCCCCUCCCUGCCUCUGACAGGAAAGGCAACCAACAGUCAACCUGUGAGGCCCUGCACUGGAAGAACCCCCGCAUUGUUACCGUUAACUUCGGCUUUAAAUGUAAAUUUAUGAAAUAACGGAUGGUGGGGAAACCCUUGGUUUCAUAACUUUUCCAAGUAAUAAAGUGACAGUUAAAAACCACUUUUUUGUAUGGGCCUCCUGUGCAGCUGAUUCCUCAGUGGUCAAUAACUUAGACACAUUCUAAGAGUGUGCUUUUUAAAUUGUUUUUCCUCUGAUUCAAGCUAGAAACAGCCCUUCUCAGUUGUCACCACCACCCGGCACCAUCAGUUUCCAGGUGAUGUAGAUUCUGUUGAUCUGAAAGCCACACUUUGAGAACAACUGCUCAAGAGGUUUGGAGUGAAAUAGAAGCUGUCUUCCUGUAUGGAUCAAAACACAGAUUACUCACUCUGGGGGAAGUUUGUUGCCAUGUUGUAAGGAUACUCAAAUACCAUACGGAGAAAUCCCUGUAGCGAAAAAAUCCCAAGGCUUCAUACCAACAGCCAUAGAGAAGCUGAGGUUUCCUGUCCGUAGCCAUGGGAGUGUGCCAUCUUUGAAGUAGAUCUUCCAGACCCAGUCAAGCCUUCAGAUGACUGCAGCCCCCAUAGACAUCCUGAUGCCAACUACAUGAGACAACUUGAGCUAGAACCACCUGACUAAGCUGUUCUCAAACUCGUGACUGACAGAAACUGUGAUAUAAUAAAUGUUUCUUGUUUUAAGCCAUUAAGUUUUGGAGAAAUUUCUUAUGC